rnacentral:lncRNA from 1 species
AGUGAUUUGGGAUUGUGGGGAUUUCGUCUUGUCGGAGAAACAUUGAACGAAGGAUUCGUAGAUAGAAUCCGACGACGGAGGUGCAGCGAAUGUGGUUGAGAAAGGGAUAGAUACGAGGAAGAUGACAAACAAAAGGACGGAGACAAAGGUUUGUCCUUUAAUCAUCAUCCUUCCUUGUAAUGUUUGUGUGAUUCGUUCCUUCUUCUCUAUUCUCUACUUUAUUUAUAACCGCUAAUCAUAGGAGAUAAUGUUUUUUCUUUUUAUCAUUUAUUAAUCAUCUUAACUCCAGUAUAUAUAUUUAUUAAGCAUAGUGGCAUAAUAACAUAUGGAUUUUUAUUUCUGUUUUGGUUUGUUAAUUUAGAGUUAUUUUAAUUAAUGGUCAACAUUUUUUUUGGUCAAAGGUCGUAGUGAUUAGCUAGGAACUGCAGAGGAAAAGUAUCAAAUUAGGCCUAAAUUAAAGCAAAUUAGAUUAUUUUUUCUCUGUCUUGAUUUGAUUUCACAAAAUUUUAUGACUUUUUUUAGUGGACUUAAAUCAAAGUUAUUUAUACAUAUUUCCAUUUAAAUACAAAUUAACC